rnacentral:hammerhead_ribozyme from 1 species
ACACUGCCGAGGAGUCCCACAAUAGGACGAAACGGCCGUCAAGUGC